rnacentral:piRNA from 1 species
UCUGUUCAGUUCUAAUUUUUU